rnacentral:rRNA from 1 species
GAUGAACGCUAGCUACAGUGCUUAACACAUGCAAGUCGAGGGGCAGCAUUUCAGUUUGCUUGCAAACUGGAGAUGGCGACCGGCGCACGGGUGAGUAACACGUAUCCAACCUGCCGAUAACUCGGGGAUAGCCUUUCGAAAGAAAGAUUAAUACCCGAUAGUAUAAUGAAACCGCAUGGUCUUAUUAUUAAAGAAUUUCGGUUAUCGAUGGGGAUGCGUUCCAUUAGGCAGUUGGUGAGGUAACGGCUCACCAAACCUUCGAUGGAUAGGGGUUCUGAGAGGAAGGUCCCCCACAUUGGAACUGAGACACGGUCCAAACUCCUACGGGAGGCAGCAGUGAGGAAUAUUGGUCAAUGGGCGCAGGCCUGAACCAGCCAAGUAGCGUGAAGGAUGACUGCCCUAUGGGUUGUAAACUUCUUUUAUAUGGGAAUAAGGUUUUCCACGUGUGGAAUUUUGUAUGUACCAUAUGAAUAAGGAUCGGCUAACUCCGUGCCAGCAGCCGCGGUAAUACGGAGGAUCCGAGCGUUAUCCGGAUUUAUUGGGUUUAAAGGGAGCGUAGGUGGACAGUUAAGUCAGUUGUGAAAGUUUGCGGCUCAACCGUAAAAUUGCAGUUGAUACUGGCUGUCUUGAGUACAGUAGAGGUGGGCGGAAUUCGUGGUGUAGCGGUGAAAUGCUUAGAUAUCACGAAGAACUCCGAUUGCGAAGGCAGCUCACUGGACUGCAACUGACACUGAUGCUCGAAAGUGUGGGUAUCAAACAGG